rnacentral:rRNA from 1 species
GAUGAACGCUGGCGGCGUGCCUAAUACAUGCAAGUCGAGCGAAUGGAUUAAGAGCUUGCUCUUAUGAAGUUAGCGGCGGACGGGUGAGUAACACGUGGGUAACCUGCCCAUAAGACUGGGAUAACUCCGGGAAACCGGGGCUAAUACCGGAUAACAUUUUGAACCGCAUGGUUCGAAAUUGAAAGGCGGCUUCGGCUGUCACUUAUGGAUGGACCCGCGUCGCAUUAGCUAGUUGGUGAGGUAACGGCUCACCAAGGCAACGAUGCGUAGCCGACCUGAGAGGGUGAUCGGACACACUGGGACUGAGACACGGCCCAGACUCCGACGGGAGGCAGCAGUAGGGAAUCUUCCGCAAUGGGCGAAGGUCUGACGGAGCAACGCGGCGUGAGUGAGGAAGGCUUUCGGGUCGUAAAACUCUGUUGUUAGGGAAGAACAAGUGCUAGUUGAAUAAGCUGGCACCUUGACGGUGCCUAACCAGAAAGCCACGGCUAACUACGUGCCAGCCGCCGCGGUAA